UACGGAGGGGGCCAGCGUUGUUCGGAAUCAUUGGGCGUAAAGGGCGCGUAGGCGGCCUGGCAAGUGGAAGGUGAAAUCCCUCGGCUUAACCGAGGAACUGCCCUCCAAACUGCUUGGCUUGAGACCGGGAGAGGUGAGUGGAAUUCCCAGUGUAGCGGUGAAAUGCGUAGAUAUUGGGAGGAACACCGGUGGCGAAGGCGGGUCUCUGGGCCGUAACUGACGCUGAGGAGCGAAAGCGUGGGGAGCGAACAGG
rnacentral:rRNA from 1 species